CACGUAGGGUGCGAGCGUUGUCCGGAAUUAUUGGGCGUAAAGAGCUCGUAGGCGGUGUGUCGCGUCGGCCGUGAAAACCUGCAGCUCAACUGUGGGCUUGCGGUCGAUACGGGCAUCACUGGAGUUCGGCAGGGGAGACUGGAAUUCCUGGUGUAGCGGUGAAAUGCGCAGAUAUCAGGAGGAACACCGGUGGCGAAGGCGGGCCUCUGGGCCGAUACUGACGCUGAGGAGCGAAAGCGUGGGGAGCAAACAGG
rnacentral:rRNA from 1 species